UUAAAAAGCUCGUAGUUGGAUUUCUGGGAGGGUGCCAAUGUCCGCCGACGUGCGUGCGCAGCGGCGCCCUUCCAUCCUUCUGUUAACGCCUCGCGGCAUUCAUUUGCUGGUGGCGGGCUCAGAUAUUUUACCUUGAGAAAAUUAGAGUGUUUCAGGCAGGCUAGGCCGGAAUACAUUAGCAUGGAAUAAUGGAAUAGGACUACGGUCUCUUUGUUGGUUUGAGGGACUGCAGUAAUGAUUAAUAGGGAUAGUUGGGGGCAUAGUAUUAAUGUC
rnacentral:rRNA from 1 species